CUCAAAAAAAAAAAAAAAAAGACACCUGGACAGCUUUAAUUUGCUUCAUCACAGAAGCCAAUGCCUGAGAAAAUGGAACCAGAAACAAAGGCUCUUGAAGUGGUAGUAUAAAGCUAGAGGAGGGGGAAACUGAGGUACCAUACAGCCUUCAUUAUUUGCAUAUAUGUAACACCAUUAGCAUCUUCUUUAAAUACAAAGUGGCAUAGAACAUUAGAAAAUAUAACUUUCCUCCCAAAGGCUUGGCUAUUUCUGCGUGGAAUGCAUGAAUAAAGUUACAGUUUUGUUUUAUUUUUAGGCAACUCUAUAGAUCACUGGGGACUCAUCCUGCAGAUAUCAUUCAAGGUAUCCGGUUCAGAAUCUAUCACCAGCUCAGACUGUAGCCUCUGAAGAGAUCUCAGAUGUUUUGUGCCUUAUACAUUUAAUUCUGAGAUCAUAGAGCCCAAGGAGGUUUUGAGGACCCUCUACCCACACCUUCAGAUGUUUUCAGAGGAUUUGCUGGCAGGGCUGGGCCACUGGGCCUUGCUGGGCUCUAAUUUUCCUA
rnacentral:lncRNA from 1 species